UGGGGAAUAUUGGACAAUGGGGGCAACCCUGAUCCAGCCAUGCCGCGUGUGUGAAGAAGGCCUUCGGGUUGUAAAGCACUUUCAGUGGUGAGGAAGGGAUGAUGGCUAAUAUCCAUCAUCAUUGACGCUAGCCACAGAAGAAGCACCGGCUAACUCCGUGCCAGCAGCCGCGGUAAUACGGAGGGUGCAAGCGUUAAUCGGAAUUACUGGGCGUAAAGCGCGCGUAGGCGGUUUGAUAAGCGGAGUGUGAAAUCCCCGGGCUUAACCUGGGCACUGCAUUCCGAACUGUCAGGCUAGAGUGCGGUAGAGGGUGGUGGAAUUUCCUGUGUAGCGGUGAAAUGCGUAGAUAUAGGAAGGAACAUCAGUGGCGAAGGCGACCACCUGGACUGACACUGACGCU
rnacentral:rRNA from 1 species